CCUUGUGAGGGCCCAAAUUUUCCUGGCAAGACGAAAGUAUUGUAAGUGGCAAUUUUGCCUCUCUGCGUGUGUUAUCUCCUUUUCCUUCAGGGCAAAUGGCUAGCUCCUUCACCCACAGACACGCUUUCAGUAGGUGUGGUAUGUGAUUUUAAAAUCUCCGUAAAGAGUUUCUGUUGUUGGUUGCCUCAGCACAGAAUGGAUACAUGCAGAACUUCCAGUAUAUUUAUCUAACCAGCUGGAACAGGUACUGGAGGGAGGGUGAAGACAUCUGUGGACGUGGCCAGGGACUGAGACAAUGAUGCUCUGGACAAACUAUCCUUCUCUGUAAAACUUUGGCUUUGAGAAGAGCCAUCACUUGCUUCAAUUUCUUUGUAGUGAAAUUGAGGGAGAUGUUGAGGACAGAAACCUGCUCCUGUCACUUGACUGCAAGUGAGCCUGACCGAUCACUAACAUAAAUGCUCAAGACCCAUCAUGACCCUGCUUUUGGGGUCUUGCAGGUCUCAGAUGCUGCUGCAGAUUUUCUUCUGCUUACACGCUGUAGAACGAAAAGCAGCAUGUUCUGUGGGAGAUGUUAGCAAGUUGUCUUUGAAGCCAAAGUCCCAUUCUGAAUCUCUGCAGCCCUCUCCUUCAGAAGAUUUUCUUUUUUUCAAAUGGAGAGGUCCCUGGUGGUAUCAGUCCAUAAAGGAAGUAUAUUUUGUUCAUCACAUUCACCGAGAACUUUGACCAUCUUCCAGCCCCCGUUAAGCCUGGAAGGUGAAUCCCUAUCAGGGACAAAGAUGGCUCAAUUUUCUUCCAUGUUCUACCCCAGCACUCCACUUUAAUUUCAGCUUCAUGUUAAUUUUAGUCAGCAGUGGCUUAACAGUCUCCAGAGUAGAUGUCAGGGCAUCUGGUGGAGUUCAUACGGAGAUCUUUUCUUUUUCUCUUUUUUAUAACAGCUUUAUUGCAAUAUAAUUCACAUAGCAUACAGUUCAUGUUUUUAAAUGUACAAUUCGGUGGUUCUUAGUUUAUUCACAAAGUCAUGCAACCAUCACCACAAUCUAACUUUUGUCAUGCCUAAAAUAAUAUCCAUGCCCAUUAGCAAUCACUCCCCAUUCUCUCCUUCCCCAUCAGCCCCUGGCAACCACGAAUCUCCUUUCUGUCUCCAUGGCUUUGCAUAUUCUUGUCAUUUCACAUAAAUGGAAUAAUGAAACGUGGUCUUUUGUGACUGGCUUCUUUCACUUAGCAUAAUAUUUUCAAGGUUCAUCCAAGUUGUAGCAUAAAUCUGAACUUAUCUUUUUAUGGCUGAAUAUUCCAUUGUAUGGAUAGACCACGUUUUAUUCAUCCAUUCAUAAGUCGAUGGACAUUUUGGUUAUUUCUGCUUUUUGGCUCUUAAGAGUAAUGCCAUUAUACUGUUUGUGUACAUGUUUUUGUGUGGACUUACAUUUUCAUUUCUCUUGGGUCUGUACCUAGGAGUGGAAUUGCUAGGUCAUGUGGUAACUCUAUCUUUAAUAUUUCGAAGAACUACCACACUUUUCAUAGUGGCUGCACCAUUUUAUGUUCCCGUUGGCAACGUAUGAGGGUUCCAAUUUCUCCAUUUUGUCAACACUUACCUUUUUUUUUUUAUUAUAGCCAUCCUAGUGAGUGUGAAGUGUGAUCUCAUGGUUUUGAUUUGCAUUUCUUUUGUGGCUAAUGACAUUGAUCAUCUUUUCAUGUGCCUAUUGGCCAUUUGUUUAUUUCUUUGGAGAAAUGUCUAUUCACACCCUUUGCCCACUUUUAAUUGGAUUAUUAAUCUUUUUAUUUUUGAGUUACAAGUUCUUUAUAUGUUCUGGAUACAACUCCCUUGUCAGAUAUAUGAGAAAAUUGAGCCAUCUUUGUAAAUAUUUUCUCUCAUUCUGUGGCUUGUCUUUUCACUUUCUAUUUAUUUUUAUUUUUAUUUUUUAGAGACAGAGUCUCACUCUGUCACCCAGGCUGGGGUGCAGUAGCAUGAUCAUGGCUCAUUGUAGCCUCGAAUUCCUGGGCUCAAGUGAUCCUUUCUCCGUCAGCCUCCUGAGUAGCUGGAACUACAGGCAUGAGCCACCAUUCCCAGCCAAUUUCAUUUUAUUUUUUGUAGUGAUGGAGUCUUACUAUGUUGCCCAGUCUGGUCUCAAACUCCUGGCCUCAAGUGAUCAUCCUGCCUCAACCUCUCAGGGUGCUGGGAUUACAGGCCUAAGCCACUGCACCCAGCCAAUUAUCAAUAUUAAUCAGAUCUGUACAGUGGUCACAGUCCAUUCUAGUUCAGUUGCUCUUGUCUAGAACCUAUCUCCCAGUAAUGGCACAUAUGGUUGUUUUUCUAGGAGAACAUCAAUUGCUCUUUUGCUCUAAGAAUUCGGUGUUUCUUGCUGUGGGAUGAAAGGUUGUAGAUUAUCCCUGUGGUAACCACACUGAUUUAUCAUCCCAACCAUGGACGGUUUUGAAAAGUAAAGAGAGUGCUAAUGUACUUAUGCUGGACAGACAGUUUAAAUGGCGACUGUAAUGGGUACAGUAGGAUGCGUGGUCACUCUGGUUAUGCCUGUUCUGUGAAUUUGCUGUUAAUUGGGAAAUACUGGUAUUAAAACGUUCUGUAUUUUUCUCAAGAGCCACAGAUAUAUGCUGGUCCAUGCACAUACACAUGAGUGCACAUUUAUGCACACACACACAUAUACUUAGGCAUUCAUGCCUAAUAAUAAAUAAGGUAGAGGUAGGUAGUCUGGCUAAGUUAAUGUAGAAUUUUUGCUAAAAGGAAUGUUCUUGUAUUAUUUUCCUUCAGACUUGUUCACAGGGGACACCUGCAGGUCUUUUAAGUGCUAUUAAUUCUUGCACAAAAAGGGCAUUCCAGUUAAUAUGGUUUGUCAGGAAGAAAUACUUAUUAAAAUGUCUUGGAAUAAAUGGAACACAAAUGUUUGAAAAAGCCCACUUCACAGCUUUUAUUCAGGUUAUAAAAUGGGAAUUACUUCAGGUGUAAAUAAUUCAUCCCAACAAAUUUGUUUCAUUUGGUGUCUAUCUUCCUGACCGCCUGUGAAUAUGAGAUUUUAUUUUUGGAGCCCUGUGUUGUUAACCACUUGUUAGUUUAACACCUCUCAUGAAUCAGGGUUCUGACCCUCAAGGGUCCAGACCUCUAAGUCCUUUUUCACUGAAGUGUUUGUGCUUUUCUAUAGGCAGUCUUCCAAACAGAAGAAGGCCAUUCAAACUGCUAUCCGCAAAAAUAAAGAGGCAAAUGCAGUGCUGGCUCGGCUGAACAGUGAGCUCCAGCAGCAGCUCAAGGAGGUUCAUCAAGAACGAAUUGCAUUGGAAAACCAAUUGGAACAACUUCGUCCAGUCACUGUGUUGUGACCCCCCAUGGUUCAAGUGACAGUGGGUGACCUUGUCUGCCAAGAUCUUUCUUUUGAAUGUUUUGAACCCAACUACUUGUCAUAGAUGUUUGACUGUGUCAAAAGCUGUGAGCAGCAAAAUAUAAUCCAUAUGACCUUUUCUCUUGC
rnacentral:sRNA from 1 species